AUGUUAUUGUUUGAAUUUCAGUUUUGUUCUGGUAAUACAGAAAGUGCUCUGUUGGUUCUCAGUUUACCUCGUUUUAUUGGUAUAUAUUCAUGCAGGCGGAGCAGCGGGUGGGGGAGUAAAAUCAGGCGAUGGCCAGCAAGUCAAGGCCGUCACAACGGCCGGCAUGCACCACAAGGAGGAGGAUGGCCUCUUCACCUACUCUGGCCCCGUCCUCCCCGACUCCUGGUCGUGCCCCUGUGCAUGAUAGCGCCCUCACUCUUCUACUUCUACUACCUACUGUUGCUCUUGUGUUGCUAUUAUACGAUGAAAAAUUCAUCUAAAAGGUGUCCGUACAUCAGAAGGGUGAGCACAAGGAGUAGGAGACUGUUGGCGUUUUGUAAAACCUGA
rnacentral:rRNA from 1 species